rnacentral:piRNA from 1 species
UCUGAUUCGAGGGCCGGGUAUUUCUCGC